rnacentral:lncRNA from 1 species
GCGUACAACCGCGGCGCCGUGCCCCUCCGUCGGCCGGUCCGGUUCGCCCGACGCCUCUCGUGCUCUAUCGGCUCAACUCACCUCCGCCGCCACCGGGCUGGCCCGGCUGCAGGUCCUGGCGCGGAGGCGACACUCGCUGAGAGUGCGGCGGCGCGGGGGCGGCUGCUGUGGCGGGUACGAGGUGGCUGGGGGCGGCGGCGGCAGCAGCACCGCCACUAAGGACAAGGCCCUGGUUAGGACCCCCAGCGAUCCCACCGGCGGCGGCGGCCCGAACGCCAUUAGGCUCGACCCGAAGCUGCCUUUGGGCCCAGGAAGU